AGGUGCGAUCAUACCAGCACUAAUGCACCGGAUCCCAUCAGAACUCCGCAGUUAAGCGUGCUUGGGCGAGAGUAGUACUAGGAUGGGUGACCUCCUGGGAUGUCCUCGUGUUGCACCUC
rnacentral:rRNA from 1 species